rnacentral:rRNA from 1 species
AAGAUUAAGCCAUGCAUGUGUAAGUAUAAAGACCAAGAAGGAUGAAACUGCGGACGGCUCAUUAGAACAGUUAUAAUUUCUUUGAUUAGUACGAUACAAGGAAUAGCUUUGUGAAUAAUAAAGAUAAUACUUGAGACGAUCCUGUUCUAUUACUAGAAUAGGCGCAUUUCGAACAGGAAUGUAGAAAAGAAGUUUAUUAAGAAAAAGAACAAAUUUACAAUUGUAGAAAUGAAAUACAUUUUGACAAGGAAUCAAUGAAAAUAUCUGAUCUAUCAACUAGUUGGUAGUAUAGAGGACUACCAAGGUUAUAACGGAUAACGAGAAAUUAGGGUUUGACAUCGGAGAAGGAGCUUUCAAAAUGGCUACUACUUCUAAGGAAGGCAGCAGGCGCGUAAAUUACCCACUUUUAACAGAAAGAGGUAGUGACGACAAAUAACUCUAUUCUUUAAGAAAAAGAAUUGAAGGAAUGAACAGAACGUACAUAGUUUUGUGAAAGCAAU